UACGUAGGGUGCGAGCGUUGUCCGGAAUUAUUGGGCGUAAAGAGCUUGUAGGCGGUUUGUCGCGUCUGCUGUGAAAAUCAGGCUCAACCCUGGACCUGCAUUCGAUACGGGCAGACUAGAGUUCGGUAGGGGAGACUGGAAUUCCUGGUGUAGCGGUGAAAUGCGCAGAUAUCAGGAGGAACACCGGUGGCGAAGGCGGGUCUCUGGGCCGAAACUGACGCUGAGGAGCGAAAGCGUG
rnacentral:rRNA from 1 species